rnacentral:rRNA from 1 species
CAGUAGCCACGGGAAUACGGAGGGUGCAAGCGUUAUCCGGAUUCACUGGGUUUAAAGGGUGCGUAGGCGGAUCUGUAAGUCAGUGGUGAAAUCUCCAGGCUUAACCUGGAAACUGCCGUUGAUACUAUAGGUCUUGAAUUUUGUGGAGGUUAGCGGAAUAUGUCAUGUAGCGGUGAAAUGCAUAGAUAUGACAUAGAACACCAAUUGCGAAGGCAGCUGGCUACACAACUAUUGACGCUGAGGCACGAAAGCGUGGGGAUCAAACAGGAUUAGAUACCCCCGUAGUCCCUGUCUCUUAUAA